rnacentral:rRNA from 1 species
UACGGAGGGUGCGAGCGUUGUCCGGAAUCACUGGGCGUAAAGGGCGCGUAGGUGGCGCGGGAAGUCAACGGUGAAAGUUCGGGGCUCAACCCUGAAUCGGCCGUCGAUACUCCCGGGCUCGAGCACUGUAGAGGCAGAUGGAAUUCCGGGUGUAGCGGUGGAAUGCGGUAGAGAUCCGGAAGAACACCGGUGGCGAAGGCGGUCUGCUGGGCAGUUGCUGACAC